GUCUGUCACUUAUCAGAAUAUGGAGGGAAAUGUAUUCACACUAGAAGACAGAAUUCACAGAAGUAGCAUUUCACCUUUUGUCUUUACAGAAGUAUAUUUGGCUGUUUUGUGAGACAUUC
rnacentral:snoRNA from 1 species